AGGAGACUGAGGAAGGAAGGAAGCAGGAUGGAGAACCAGAGGGAUCCCUGGAGGAGGCACAUGGAGCAGAGAAGAGAGACACGUGAAGAAACUGCGCUUGGCUUUUGGACUGGGUGACACAGAUGUGGCUGGCUUUAGAUCUACUUAUUCACUGAGGACUGCUUAUAUAACUAGACCAUGCUUAUGACUCCGAGCUUCUCUACAUGCCUGGGACACCAACUACCCCCCUUCUCUUUUCGUGCCUACGAAUCCCGCGGGUCGGGACAGGUGGCGCCCAACGUGCGGCACGAAAAAGAGCGAAGGACCCGCUGCAGGACCAGCUGUGGUGAGCCGGCAAGUAAAGGAAAGUAAGGUAAGGUAGCUGGGAUCAUGGGCAAUUCAAUGUCCAAGGGGCAGUUAGUUAUUUCCCUAGAAGCUCUCCUAAAAAAGUUUGGGGUUCCUCUCAGUAGAAAAAUUCUUAAAAGAUUUGUAGAGACUCUUAGUAUCACUAGUAAAUGGUUUCUGGAGCAGGAUCAGGUCGAUAGUGACAAAUGGAAUAAGGUAAAAGGAGAUACCGUCUUACAUCAGCAAUUAUAUGGUCUUGAGUCUCUUCCUGGCACUACUUUGACGGUCUGGGGAGUGGUGGGAGAUGCUCUUAAUGCCGGUGGCACUGCUGCCGUUCAGUUAGCCACUGAGGCCGUCAGGACAGCGAAACAAACAGAGGAAGAAGAUAGAAGUUCCAUUAUGAGUUCUACAUCGGUAAGUCCCCCUUCCUCUACUCAAAAAAUUCCAAGAGCCCCUCCCCUAGAUUAUUCUACUGAUGAGUCGGGAGGAGACGAGGAACAGGAUGAGAAAGGCCUCGGUUGUUAUAAGCCAAGGAAGCGUAAAAGGAGAUGGAAAACACCUGGGAGCCACCUCCUGAGCCACCUCCUAGAACACUUGACAGGGUUGAUCUUCCGUUAAUGGACAGACUGUGCUCUAUGAUGGAAAGAGUCCUGGUUUCCCAGGCUCCUAAUUAUGCUUACCCAGUCGUGGAAGGGACAGAUCCUCAAGGGGUGCUUACUAGGGUACAUGUCUCCAUCGACACAUUCUCUGGUUUUCUUUUCGCCUCCCCACAUUGCGGUGAAAAGACUUCUGAUGUCCGCUCACAUUUGUUACAAGCGUUUGUGGUAAUGGGCCGCCCACAUGUCAUUAAGACAGAUAACGGUCCUGGUUAUACCAGUAAGGCUUUUGCCUCCUUUUGUGCGGUCCAUCGCAUUGUGCACAAAACAGGAAUUCCAUACAACCCGCGGGGGCAGGGUAUAGUUGAACGUGCCCAUGGUUCUCUGAAAACUAUGCUUUUAAAACAAACAGGGGGAGAACACUCCCCCAGGGACCAUUUGACUACAGCUCUCUUUACCCUUAAUUUUUUGACCCUAGAUCCCCAGGGGCGGUCAGCUGCCGAUGGGCACUGGUCGCCAGACCCUUGGCAGGUCACGAUGCUGCAAGCGAGAUGGAAGGACCCAGUUAAUAAUGAGUGGCAACCACCCGCGCCAGUAUUAAUACAGCUGCCCGGCAGCAUUUGUCUUUUCCCACAGGAUGCGGAAUCACCCCGAUGGGUUCCUGCUCGAUUGGUUCGGUUUGUCGAUGUACCUGACCCUGCUAACCUUGAUGACACGAGCGUCCCAGAUGUCAGUACAAUGGGCGAUUGUGAAUCAGCUGUUUUUUUUUGCUCCUCAUCGAUCGUCAUGAUUCCACUUUUCCGCAAGUGUUUGCCACUAAUCUUACUACUGGUCUAGCUUCCAAGCCAUUGGAUAGUGCCCUGUUGGGCCAGGGUGAGGUAAAAUUAUUUAAUGACAUUUAAUCUGCAAACAUUAGUUCUACCAUUGAACAAUCUGUUAGUAUCCAGAAUAAUAGAUCAGAGAGUUUGUCUACUGUUGUUUGCCUGUCCCCUCCUUCUUUUUUGUCCUCUUCAAUAAUGCAGGAAAUGCAACUGUGUUGAACUGUUCAGCGGAGCCCUGCACCCUCUCUGCCUGCUGGACCCGGAGUGCGGAGAGGGCAGUGAUCGUUCGUCUGCCUUCUACUUUAGUCAUACCCAUGGAUGUUUCUGCACAUCUUUCCUUUUCCUGUUCUACCUAUGAGGAGACGUGAUUUUGGCAUCACCGCAGCUGUUGUCGCUGUUUCAAUAGCGGUGGCCGCAGCUGCUGCCGCCGUCUGUCACUCAAACUGCUGCAAAUACUGACACUAUAAACAAUUUAGUUGCCAAUGUUUUUGUGUUAUCAACAUAGCAAGAUAUGAAUGAACAUUUAUGAAAUGGACUUGAUGCUUAAUUAGCAGAUAGCUCUGAUGUAAAAAGAGAUAGACACACUUUUGUUAACUGCUCACAUGCAUUGUAACUUUUUGUACAGUUUUAUUUGUGUAAUUCCUGUUAUGGUGAAAAAUAUGUUUAUGGAAGAAAAUAGGUUAAAUAGUGUAAUCAGAGGACCUUAGAACCACCAGCUCCUGAACCUGACCUCUCAAUUGGCGAGACAGCUCAUAACUGUUAACAACACUCGGGUUACCCUGUUUCGAGUAAGGGUCUCAUGGCCUGGUUUAGAGGACUCCUCCCAGAGUUGCUGUUUGUGCAUUCGGCAUAUGGUUUCUCCGUCGGCUACGGAAGCGAAACAAAAAACGUGCUAUUGUGGUCAGGCAAGUACUUGGCGCCAUGGUACUUGACCAGGACUCCCCAGUGGCAUCCAGAUGGGUCAACUUAAUCCUAGAGAAUGUGAGAGCCAAAGACGGGUAAGAGUGUAGCCCGUCCAGACCAACCUAAGACAGUGGUCUGGACCAAGUGCGCCGGAUUAGCGAUGACAGGUAAGGCUGGUCACGGAAUAUGCCAACCUAAGACAGGCCAGGUGUCUCAUUUAAAAGAAAAAAGGGGGAGAUGUCCGGGGCCGCCUGGAGCAUGCGCCGUGUUGCGCAACACACGUGCCAUUAAUUAAGUUUUGCUUUACCGUUUUGCCUGCUGAGAAACCACAGGUGUUUCCUAUUAAUCAAAUGAGACUGGGAGGUACGAUGGGAGGAGCUACCAGGAUAUAAGAAGAACCACGAGAAGGUCGAGAGGUUAUUGCGAGAGAGGUUAUUGCGAGAGGAGCAGAGAGAAGGUCAGGGAAGGUAGAAAGACAGGGAAAAGGAAAAGAAAGGAAAAGGAAAAAUAAAGAAGCAAACGCUAGCGUCAAGUUGUCUCAAGCCCCUCAUUUCAAUCCUCAGCCCUUCUCUUUUCGUGCCUACGAAUCCUGCGG